UGAGUAACACGUAUCCAACCUGCCGAUAACUCGGGGAUAGCCUUUCGAAAGAAAGAUUAAUAUCCGAUAGUAUAUUAAAACCGCAUGGUUUUACUAUUAAAGAAUUUCGGUCAUCGAUGGGGAUGCGUUCCAUUAGGUUGUUGGCGGGGUAACGGCCCACCAAGCCUUCGAUGGAUAGGGGUUCUGAGAGGAAGGUCCCCCACAUUGGAACUGAGACACGGUCCAAACUCCUACGGGAGGCAGCAGUGAGGAGUAUUGGUCAAUGGACGAGAGUCUGAACCAGCCAAGUAGCGUGAAGGAUGACUGCCCUAUGGGUUGUAAACUUCUUUUAUACGGGAAUAAAGUGAGGCACGUGUGCCUUUUUGUAUGUACCGUAUGAAUAAGGAUCGGCUAACCCCGUGCCAGCAGCCGCGGUAAUACGGAGGAUCCGAGCGUUAUCC
rnacentral:rRNA from 1 species